rnacentral:lncRNA from 1 species
GCUGCUGUUUCAUGGCAGCGAACAAACGGCCUACUAUUUUCGCCGCUUGUGUACACGCAGCACAGCGUAGCUACAUAUGACCACCGAAUCUUCCCUCACCACAUGCACUGUACACUUGUACGGUGAUAUACUUCAAUAUAUCAACGGUGAUGGCUACGCUUGCGUUGACGAGCUAAUCCGACAACAGCAGCAUCUUACAGGCAGGAUCAAUGGAACAUCACGUCAUUACCCCGUUCCCUUGUUUCCUUUAUUCAAAGACCCACAUAGAAAGUUAAUGGAGCACACGACCCAACGGAACUAAGACUAUUUAUGAAGUUAACGAGAACGCAAUAAUCCGCUAUAGUAACGUUACAUUGCUGUAUGGAAUUGUUGUAAAUGGUAAGUAUGCUGUUGUUUGAGCACGUAUUGCAUACAACCUUAGCACAUCGUUGUGUUACAAGAUAAGCAGGUAAACGCAAGGACCAAUAAAGGCAAGAGCCCAGAGAUUCCGUGCAAUCUGCAUGGUACCGAACCCAGUUCGCUCAGAGGGCUGACCGACACAAACUUAGUUCUACAACAGGACUAACAUCGAGGUAGGGUAAUUGAUCCUAGGGACUGCGGUGCUGAUCCCUGGCUCCGGAACCCAGGUGGUCUGGUCGGCAGGCUAACAAUUUGGAUAAGGCACGCGCGAUGGGGCACAGAAUUUUACAGGGUCUACGAGAGAGCCCAUCUGCGAGUCAAAGUAAAGCUGCUUGGUCAGCAACAUUAAGGCGCCUUAUGCGGCACUCAGUCAGAGUCUCAUAAUCUAUAAUGGUGGAUAGCUGCGUCCUACUAACCUGCCACAUUACAUGGAUCGUUUUCAGGUCAGUCCCGCUCCACUAGCCAAGUAAAACAAUGAAGGUCAACUCGUCACGCAUAUGCCUGAUGCUCCUUAGCUUUCUCAACCUCCAAUAGAAUCCGUACGGAUCCGUACAUGCCAACAUUGACUUUGACUGUUGCAUCGCCAGUCGUAUGCACAAAUAAGGUCACAUCAGGCGGAAAACAAUACACGCACAUGCAUACACCGAAAACAGUUGAUGUGGCCACCAUCACACGCAGCAGCAGCAGCACCAGUGCGACGAAAUCAGCUCUCAUACUCGUUAGUCACACCCAGCAAUGCAGUCUACAUUUUAUGAAAUACAACAGCUUCCAGGAAAUAAGCGGCAAGCCAAAAUUAGUCAUGCGAUCUAGGCGUUGCGACCUGUAUAUUAUCCGGGUCAGCAAGAGGACUCGCACGCGCGCAAAAAGAUAAACGUUAAAGCGCUCCGCGCCUGCUCCGAAUUCCGAAUUAUACUCUUCCUGAGCUUCUGCUCCGUUCACUUUUUCUUUGCUGCGGCCUUUGCGCUGCGCACGGCCGCCUGGGCAGCGGCCAGCCGCGCAAUUGGCACUCGGAAGGGAGAGCAAGAAACGUAGUCUAGGCCCACCUGCACGUAAACAUCACAAGCAAGGAACAGUUUAAAGAGGGAUUAUUCCCAAGCAAGAACUUUUUAAUUUUCAAAGUUGAAUACGUUUCGCGCCGCAAAAGUUUUUUAUUUCCCUGUUUGCGGUCUGUGGUGCCCCCUCUCUUUCCCUCACCUCAUGCAGGAAGGCCACCGUCUUGGGCUCGCCACCCUGCUCGCCGCAGAUGCCAAUCUUUAGGUUGGGUCGGCUGGCCCGGCCUCGCUCCACCGCAAACUUUAUCAGCUCGCCAACGCCAUCCUGGUCUAGGACCUGCCACAAUCCCAACAACACAUACGACCAUUCGUAUGUUCAUACGCAGCACAUGUACAGAUUGUAACAUAACAUGUGCAGAUGUGUGUACUGGAACCGUUUGCCAUUAUUCCACAUGCUGGCUGUGAUAAAGUGGCCCAGAAGCCUCCCACUCUGUAACAUAACAUCAUC